UACGGGGGGUGCAAGCGUUGUCCGGAAUCACUGGGCGUAAAGGGCGCGUAGGUGGUGUCGUAAGUCUGUGGUGAAAGCCCGGGGCUCAACCCCGGGUCUGCCGCGGAGACUGCGAGACUCGAGUACUGGUAGGGGCUGGUAGAAUGCCGGGUGUAGCGGUGGAAUGCGUAGAGAUCCGGCAGAAGACCGGUGGCGAAGGCGGCCAGCUGGGGCAGUGACUGACACUGAGGCGCGACAGCGUGGGGAGCAAACAGG
rnacentral:rRNA from 1 species